GCAACAGUGAGGAGGCAGCCUCGCCAGUGGGACAUUACAUGGGCGACUUGAAAUGCGGUACCAGCUGUUUACGCGACUCCUUUGGUAUUGCCAGCUGCCCGGCACCUGAAAUCCAGAUGACAAACGGGAUUUCGGCCAGGCAAAAUUUCUCCUGAGUCACUCAAGGAAGUGGAAGAGUUGAUGUUGGGGAUUCAUGACUUGAGUCUCCACUGCAUUCUUGGUCAAUCCUGUGUUGAAUUUGGCCUCGGGACAUUGUUUAGUUGAUGGAACUUACUGGCAAAGGAACAGAGGAAAAUGAGCAAAGAUAACUUCAGAAUGCUGAACACCUCCAUUGUACUAUCACCGCAAGGAUUUUAAUCCUUGAUAUCACUAAUU